rnacentral:rRNA from 1 species
AUUGAACGCUGGCGGCAGGCCUAACACAUGCAAGUCGAACGAGUGGCGGACGGGUGAGUAAUGUCUGGGAAACUGCCUGAUGGAGGGGGAUAACUACUGGAAACGGUAGCUAAUACCGCAUACUAUCAGAUGUGACCAGGUGGGAUUAGCUAGUAGGUGGGGUAAAGGCUCACUAAGGCGACGAUCCCUAGCUGGUCUGAGAGGAUGACAAGACACAAUGGAACUGAGACACGGUCCAGACGCCUACGGGAGGCAGCAGUGGGGAAUAUUGCACAAUGGGCGCAAGCCUGAUGCAGCCAUGCCGCGUGUAUGAAGAAGGCCUUAGGGUUGUAAAGUACUUUCAGCGGGGAGGCGUUACCCGCAGAAGAAGCACCGGCUAACGCCGUGCCAGCAGCCGCGGUAAUUC